rnacentral:misc_RNA from 1 species
GAUGAAGAACGUAGCGAAAUGCGAUAAGUAAUGCGAAUUGCGGAAUUCAGUGAGUCAUCGAAUCUUUGAACGCACAUUGCGCCCUGUGGUAUUCCGCAGGGCAUGCCUGUUCGAGCGUCAUUUCAACCCUCAAGCCCCGCUUGGUGUUGGGCCCCGCCCGCCGUGGCCGGCCCUAAAGACAGUGGCGGCGCCGCCUGGCCCUCAGCGUAGUACAGCUCUCGCUCCAGGGUCCGGCGGCCGCCUGCCAGAACCCCCCCAACUCUGUGGUUGACCUCGGAUCAGGUAGGGAUACCCGCUGAACUUAAGCAUAUCAAUAAGCGGAGGA